ensembl:snRNA
GUGUUGUACGAAAGGAAAUAAGCUUAGCACUCCCCUUGAUAAGGAUGGAAAGGGUCCUAGUGGUCUUUACAACACACAUAUGGCUAAGGAAUUGCCACCUACUCUGUGGCAUCUUACCAUGUUUUUUU